CUUUUCCAACCAUAGCCACUUAUUGUAGUCUCACGCGAGUAACUUUGUGACGCCUUUUCUCAGAACAGCGUCGGUAGAUUGAAGCGGGUUCGGUUCAUUGGGUCCAUAAACAAAAAAAGUGACUGAUGCUGUACAUCUUUGAGAUCUUAUAAUUAUAACACAUUUGACGUAAUAUGCUCCAGUUAAGAUUAAAACUGAAGGAUGAUUACUUGGUUAAAUAGCCUCAACAUUUGCACUGACAUUCCUGUCCUGUUUCUAUUGCCCAGCAUCUGGUAAUCCGCUGUCAAAGCUGCAACUGGGCAAUGCUGUUGAAGGAAUGUGACAAUGAAAUGAACAUAAACUUCCACUUAGAGAAAGAUGACACAAUAAACAAGGUUACUGCUCUCCCAAAAAUAAUCAGCGCAUUCCUAUCCGAAGAUAUUUACAGCUAUAAAAAAGACACCGAUAUCCUGAUUGAAAAAUGCUGCUGAUCAAAAAUGUAGGCUUCCAACUUUUGCCUAACCAAAGGCUUGUAACUAACAUGAGACAGCACCCUCAGGAGGAAGUAACAGAUGAACAGCUACUGAAAUCCAUACCCAAUAUAAGCAUCCAGGAGCAAUCACAGGAAUCUGAGCAAAUACAAGUAAAUAAUCAAAGUGCACCGUGACAAAAGGACGAAAAAACUAUCAAGAAACAAAAGACAAACCACUAAAAUCCAACAAAGUCAACUAAAAAAAAAAAAAAAUCAACAAGCAGUGGAACAUUUAAAGGACAAACAAAAUUUAAUCGUUUCCGUAUUACAAUUCCCAUUGAUAGUGUUUAAGCAGUAAAAUUGAAAUGUUCACUUCUGUUGUAUUUAAAACAACCGCAAAAUAAGAUCAAUUGCAUUUGAAGGACAAGCAAACUUUGAUGUUUCCUGUUACAGUUCCCAUUGAUAGACUGUCACCAAUAGAAUUGAAAUGUUCACUGCUGCUGUGUUUAAAACAACUAGAAAAGAAGGCCAUCACAUUUAAAGCACAAGCAAACAGUGAUCUUUCCUGUUACAGUUCGAUUCUUUGAAUACUAACAUUGAUGUUAACAUAAAUUAUACAUGAUUAUACAGUGCAUGUAACGUGAAAAAAGAGGAUCAAGCACGUUCAAGGUACAAACAAACUUUAUUUUGUCCUGUUUCCAUUGAUACUUUAAAGUACGAUAGUAUGUACAUUCUGGCAUUCAGUUCUGCAGUAUAGUUAAGUUUACGAAGAAAUGUACCCUUACAGUUAUUGUUAAUAAACUGUUACUUGCUAG